UUAUAUACAUACAAAUAUAUGAAGACAUGAGGGCUUCACAAGACAAUUUUACACAUUGUAAAAUGGUGUAUAAUUAAGUUGUAUGAAAUUUAGGAUGAACUGAGGUCAACCACAUACAUUUUUCUAUAGCCGAGGGCUUAGAUUGUAAACUACGAUAACCAUAGGGUUAAAUUGUUGAAAAGAGUAAGUUCGAGUACUAAACAGCAAAGUCCAUUGGCCUAAUGGCCCGGUUCUAAAAUGCAGCAAGCCAGAGGGCUAAACGGCAGAGACCUGUUAAACUGUGGUUUACACAGAUAUUUUAAGGGACUUAUACUAGAUUAGGCUCGAAUCUAAGGGCUGAAUUGAAAAUCCACCAAAGAGAUAAGAAAUCCCCAAUUUCUUCUCCCGUGUGUGCUUCCUGGCCACUGGUAACUGCCGCCGCUCAGUGCGAACCGGCCGGUAGUUGCGCCACCGCCGCUGCUUGGGAAGCGAGGCCGUGUCGCACAGCGCCUGAGGGCACCGCCAUGCGCAGGAAACUGUGCCGCACCGGAGUACGUUGGCCGCCCACUCGCGUCGAGCGCCGAUGAUCUUCGGGUGCGGUUGCAGCGCCUUAGGUGGUCGCUCGGACGAGCGCUGGAGGAUGCCGCUGGGAAGGCCGGGGGCCUCUAGCCCCAGGUGCCCUCGUGCCAGGGGAAGCAGCGUCGGGCCGGCGUUGAGAACUUCGGCGUGGAGGUUAGUGCGUCUUGUGUGCAAGAGCAAAAAGAAUGGAAUAUGGUCACCUGAUGAUGUAGCAAUUAAGAUCGAGAGUUUGGUGUUUGUAUAAAUUAAUGCUUCAUCGUCUUGGAGAAGGGGCGGCCCAGAUCCUCGUUAUUUUUCAUGUGAUCCCCUUUUCUCUUCUUCUGUUCUUGGCCGAACUUGGUGUUUCGUCUGUGAGGACGAUUUUUCUCCUCAAUCCUCUGUCUUCUUUUUGGCAGUUAUUGGUAUGGAUUUUCGAUCGAGUGAUCCUGGAUGCCAACGCCCAUAUCCUUUUCUGUGCGUCUUCCUUGUGUAAUUGAAAAUUGUGCCCAAUUUCAAGUUCUGAUGUUCCUGCUUGGAGUAUGAUAAAUCCGCUCAAUUGAUUGAUUUUCUGUCCUUUGGCAGAGUGUGUUCGAGGCUUCCAAUUCUUGAAUCGAUGGAGGCUGGCGCUGCGUUCUUCCAUCGGUUCUUCUUUCUUUGUAGUUCACGAUUGAUCAAUUCUUCGUGAGAUUCGUUAGCCAACUUCUCCAGACUUCUCCAGUCAUCGUCUGCGGCAAUUGCAGAUCGCCGGAGUGGCCUCCUCUGGCCAUAGAGAGGCCUUGCCGUUUGCCGCCGCUGUCGUCGGCAGUCAUGUGGCGGAUUGAAGCGCCGGAGGGCGCCGCUUCGACGCGCAUACAGAGGAGGGCGUCGUCAACCAUGGGGUGCCUCAGCCGCCUGCAUCGCGCGCUGGUGCUGCGCCGCUGGAGCGCUGUCGAGGCCGAGGGUCCUCGUGUCCUUGGGGCCGGAGGGAGGGUCAGGGACGGUGGAGCCGUCGAGUUCUUGGCCUAAUUGAUCUCUGGAAGAGGCGUGCGUGAUAACGUGUUAGAGAGAAUCGAGAGAGAGGAGCGAAUGGAAAACAGAUAUAUGAAUGAACAGUUAUUCUAUUGAUUGAA